rnacentral:rRNA from 1 species
GAUGAACGCUAGCGGCAGGCUUAAUACAUGCAAGUCAAGGGGGUAGCAAUACAACCGGCGCACGGGUGAGUAACGCGUACACAACAUACCAUAUACUGGGGUAUAGCUUCGGGAAACUGAAGGUAAUCCCCCAUAAUAAUUGCGGGAAGGCAUCUUUCUGCAAUUAAAGUUUCGACGGUAUAUGAUUGGUGUGCGUUUGAUUAGCUAGUUGGGUAGGGUAACGGCCUACCAAGGCGACGAUCAAUAGCUGGCGUGAGAGCGCGACCAGCCACACUGGAACUGAGACACGGUCCGANACUCCUACGGGAGGCAGCAGUAGGGAAUAUUGGACAAUGGGCGAAA